AGCGAACGCUGGCGGCAGGCCUAACACAUGCAAGUCGAACGAACUCUUCGGAGUUAGUGGCGGACGGGUGAGUAACACGUGGGAACGUGCCUUUUGGUUCGGAAUAACUCAGGGAAACUUGUGCUAAUACCGAAUGUGCCCUUCGGGGGAAAGAUUUAUCGCCAUUAGAGCGGCCCGCGUCUGAUUACCUAGUUGGGGAGGUAACGGCUCACCAAGGCGACGAUCAGUAGCUGGUCUGAGAGGAUGACCAGCCACACUGGGACUGAGACACGGCCCAGACUCCUACGGGGGGCAGCAGUGGGGAAUCUUGCGCAAUGGGCGAAAGCCUGACGCAGCCAUGCCGCGUGAAUGAUGAAGGUCUUAGGAUUGUAAAAUUCUUUCACCGGGGACGAUAAUGACGGUACCCGGAGAAGAAGCCCCGGCUAACUUCGUG
rnacentral:rRNA from 1 species